rnacentral:snRNA from 1 species
AAAGGACAGGAGAGAGUUAACAGUCAGAAAGGUGGUUUUCUAAGGUGAGGCUUGUCUUAGCACUCUGGAUAUGCCGACCCCUGCAAUCCCCAAAUGUGGGAACAUCUGCUGCUUAAUUUAUGGUAGUGGGGGACAGCAUUUGUGCUCUCUCCUA